UCGAUGCCGUACUGCGCCAGAUAUGUGGUGUUUUAGGCUAAGAGACAUGUGAAUAAGACAGUGGAGUUUGAGUUGUGUAGUGCAAUCCUUAUCUGGCCCAUUGUGCUGGUGUGUUUUCUACACAGAGAUCCGUGGCUUCGUCAAGCAAGCUGGUGUACGUUGUACAUCAUUUUAUAAGGCAUAAUGGGGAACAAACUCUUUCGGCAGAAGAGAAAAGACGGGAACUACAGACGUUAUGCAGACCGACAGAGACACCAAGAAAUGUUGAUGUGGAGAGAAAAGAAAGCUUUGGGGGAAGAAGAAGAUGUUGACGACUUAAAUUGCAACUGCACUUCAGUUAUGGAC